rnacentral:lncRNA from 1 species
AUAAGAUAAAUAAAUUAAACAGAAUCUGCGCUAAAAUUCUGAUAAUAUGAUAUUACAUAAGUUUGGAUUUACAAUAAAUUAACAUAUAUUAUUAUGAUAGCACAACAAUUCUUCUUCGUCGAUUAACUUUGGAUAUUAAUAUAUCGAUCAUUGAUCAACUAUAUCCUUGUCUACCUCGUUGAUUUCCUUCACCAAUAUGCCGCAAAUGAUCUUUCUAUACACAAACAAACAUAAAUUAUUANNNNNNNNNNNNNNNNNNNNNNNNNNNNNNNNNNNNNNNNNNNNNNNNNNNNNNGGUGCACCUUGCUAACUUAGACCUAACUAGGGUCUAAGUUAGAAAACCCCUAUAUAUAUAUGCAUGGAAAAUAAAAUAAAAAGAAAAAAGCGUGAGACAUAUAUACAGUGUGUGGCAAGUUUUAUUUGCUAAGAGAAAACCCACUUUUGGAUAGGGAUGGGGAUGGUUCGGUUUUGGAAGAAAACCGAACCGAAUUGAACCAAACUGUUUUCAAAAUUCAUAGUAACUGAACUAAACUGAACUGUUUGUCUUUCGAACUGAACCAAACCGAACGGUUAAAGGGUUCAGUUUUAUGGUUUUAAACCAAACCAUAACUAAUUUUUCUCUAAAAGUAACUGAACCAGUAAAUCAAACCGAACCGAACCAAACUGAUAAUCAUGAACCGAACCAAACUGUUUCGGUUCAGUUUUAAAACCGUUUGUUAUGGUUCAAAUUUUUUUGGAUUGGUUCAGUCUAGUUCGGCAGUUCGGUUUGGUUUUUGGGUUUUUUUGUCCACCCCUACUUUUGGAGCUCCCUUCACUCCAAUACAAAAAGAUCAAGGCAACCCUAUCUCCAAAUUCAUGCAAACCUAUGACUUUUGUAAACUUCCAAUUAGCAAAGUCAAAGGUAUCCAUGAACAAGCAGCAAGGGUCAACCAUCACCUCCUUUUAGACUUGGAGUGCAGAGAACUCCAAAUUGAGUUUAUAUAAUAAACUCAAAACCUAUAGAUUAAUUGCCCAAACUAUAAGAAAGAAACAACAAAAUUCCUCAAAAAUAAUAAUAAUAAUAAGCAAUAAGAAAGAAAAAAAACCACAAUUAUAUAUGUAAUUCCUAAGACAGAAUACUAGCUAGAGAAGUGAUUGUGAUGCUUGAAAACUUACAUAAUAUUGGUUUAUAUAGACCAAGGUCAUGGCUUGAAGUGUAAUUUCAGCCAUUAUAUUUAUGGAUUGUAUAUUUUUAAUUUAUUACAGAAUCGCAUAAUUUGGAUCUUGAUGUUUGAGGAUUGGUGAAACGUUGUAUUAAUUAUAAAAUUAUUGAGGAUCUUUUGCUUUAAUUGUC